UACGAAGGGGGCUAGCGUUGCUCGGAAUCACUGGGCGUAAAGGGUGCGUAGGCGGGUCUUUAAGUCAGGGGUGAAAUCCUGGAGCUCAACUCCAGAACUGCCUUUGAUACUGAGGAUCUUGAGUUCGGGAGAGGUGAGUGGAACUGCGAGUGUAGAGGUGAAAUUCGUAGAUAUUCGCAAGAACACCAGUGGCGAAGGCGGCUCACUGGCCCGGAACUGAC
rnacentral:rRNA from 1 species